rnacentral:tRNA from 1 species
GCCCCCAUCGUCUAGAGGCCCAGGACGCCACCCUUUCAAGGUGGAGAUCACCGGUUCGAAUCCGGUUGGGGGUACCC